GGAAGGUGAAGCCGUGUGAGCUUCUUGCCCUGAAGACAGUCUGCUCCAUGGAAGAGGAGGCUCCCCAAAGUCCUGCCUGGCUUUGUGGGGAGCAGUUCCAGAGCAUCGCCCGGGGACUCCCUGACACCGUUUGCCCCAACAUCACGACUGGAAGCCUGCGUCGGAGGAGGGGGACAGGAUGGAGGAGAAUUUUUCCUGCCAAGUCAAGAAGAUGGCGCUGGCCUUGGGAACGUCUCUGACGGACAAGGAUAUUGACCUGCUGCCCUCGGAGAUGAGACAUCAUGGUACGGAGGGGCCGGGCCCUACCCGCCCUGG
rnacentral:lncRNA from 1 species